rnacentral:lncRNA from 1 species
GAGUGUGCCGUGUGCGAAUCAUUGGCGCAUCCGCUAGCUCCAAAAGAGAAAGAAAUUAAAAUCAUCAUCAGAACAUGGGCGCGCUAAUUAAUCUAUAAUAAUUAAUUAAUUAUGUCCCUGCAAGGAAAAGAAAAUCGAUGUGCAGUUUCGAACAGCCCUCCCCUGUUCAGGCAGGCUUCAGAAUCUAGAUAAGACGGGUGGUGAGUUCCCA